rnacentral:misc_RNA from 1 species
AUACGCCGUGCCCCUUCCCGCUCAUAAAGCUGUCUUGGUGAGUCGCUCCCCAGUUUUCAGAGCUAUGCUUGAGAAUGAAAUGGAAGAAAGUCGUAGUGGUACCAUAAAGAUCAGCGACGUUUCAUUCGAUGCCCUCCGCGCCUUUGUUAAUUACUUGUACACAGCAGAAGCCUGUCUUGAUGAGCAAAUGGCUUAUGACCUUUUAGUUUUGGCUGAGAAGUACGAAGUGAAGCAUCUGAAGGCACAUUGCGAGAAGUUCCUAAUAUCAAAACUGAACUGGGACAACUCGAUCAUGAAUUACGUCUUUGCACACCAGCACAAUGGCAAGCAUAUGGUCGAUGCAGCUUUGUCGGUGAUUAUCGACAACAUGGACAAGUUUACCAAAAGGGAGGAGUAUAUGGAACUCGUCAAGAAGGAUCCACAGCUGGUCGUGGAAAUCUAUGAAGCUUACAUGUGUAAACAGGUAAAUACUGCUGCUUGUAAGGAUUGUUCUGUGAAAUAAAAUUGAAGUAGAUCUUAUAGUCAUUGUGAUUUGCUUUGUGUGCGUGCAAGAACUGUUUUGAUACUUUGCUUUAAGAUGA